CCUGUUAAUCCUAUGGCUUGCAUACCAUUUACAGCAAAAUAUAAAUAAGGGGAUGGAGAGUCUGGAUGCCUAUUGGUGAAAGAAGAAGAGAAGAUCUAGAAUUAAUGGCAUACAAGUACCUGAUUAAAUGUGCACACCCUCAAUGUCAUUAUACAGCAUAAACUGUCAAUGUAGAGAGAAUUACCAGCUAGACAGUCAAAGGGGCAG